ACGUACGACUCAGACGGUCAAACCCAACUGCUCCCCUUUUAUUCAGCCAUCAUUUUCCCUAGAGUGAAUGCAGGGAAAACUGAAACAGAGACGAUUAUGUGAGAAAGGAUUUGUUCAUCUUUCCUGGGAUUGAAGUAGCUGCAAUCAUAAGGAUUUCUUCAUUCUUUAUUGGUUUUACAAAUUACAAACGUGGUUUUAGGUUUCAUGCACAUCUUUUCAAUUCCGUUAGGAUUAAUAUGAUGGAAAUUAGCAUGGGAACAUACCCAAAUGGGAAUUCGUUUGCAAGAUCCAGGAGGGCGAUGUGCUGGAAUUUUCGAGUCAAAAAACACAGUUACCACGCAUCAGGUUGUCAAUCGGCUACCUGAAAUUUGCUAAAGAAAACCAUGCCAGACGAAAGCUCUUUUUACAGGUCUUGGAGUCCACGAGUUUCACAAGGAUUUUUCCCUUUACCUCCAUGGUGUGCGUGAAUGAGUAAGUAUUUACCUUUUAUUGGUUACAUAAGGCUUCUCAUAAUCUGUAUUAUGAACGUUUCUUUCCCCAAUUUAGGUGGUCUCUAAUUUUUCUGAAAUCACAUGUACCUUUUGCAUACUUUCGUGAACUUUUCUGUAUUUUCUUUGCAAUAUCCUAUCAUUAAUCGGAUUGCCAAUAUAUGAUUGGGUCCGUUGACUAUCUACAUUUGAAGAAAGAAAAAACAUGGGUUCCUCCGGAAUAAUUAUUUGAUUUUUUAUUGCAACUAUUUUAGAAAUUGUUUUAGCAUCACACUAACCAGAUUUUUCCUUUUUUGUAUUAUCUCAAAAACAUUAGUGUCUGUUUAUCCAAGAUAACCCAAUGCUUCAGAGUCAGUCAUGGAUUACGUGUACAACAGUUGAGUGCUUUAGAUGCAAACUCAGUUUCAUGCAACUACCUCGCUUUCGGUUAAUGUUCAAAUGUAGUAUGUCAACAGUUCAGUGUGUAAAUCCUGCCAUUAUUAUAUGGUAUACAGUAGUUGAGUGCUUUAGCUGCA